UGUAGGAAAUAUAGGGAAGAGAGGAAUAGAUUAAAGCAAAAGAUAAUUCAGAUUGGAAGGAAAUGGAACCUUGAAGGUGUUUUGGGAACAACAGGAGAAGGGGUUAAAAAACGCAGGAUGCUGUCGUGGAAUAUUUGAAGGAUACAGGGAUGUAUUAUAGGAUUUAGAUAAUUUUUUUUUUUUUUUUUUUGUAAAAGUAGAUUGAUAUCUAUGCUACAUACUCCGAUACAGUAGGUGGCGGUAUGCACCUGAUAAGCCAUGGUUGCAAUCUGUCAUAAAACUAAGAAGAAGAAGGUAUUGUGAAGAAACAAGCGAGGAUAAAUGGCAGAUCAUGGAUAUAAAUGUUUUGUUCCAGGCUGUGCAGGGGAUGUGAGCACUUUACAUACUCUUCCCGCAGAACAAAACUGUCAACAGGCAUGGUUGAUGUUUAUCUAUAACUGGAUACCGCAACAAUUUAAUUCAAAGUUGCUAGUUUGCUCUGCCCAUUUCACCACGGACAGUUUUUCUAAUCUGGGACAAUAUCAAGCAGGCUUCGCUCAGCGUUUGAUUCUGAAGAAGGGGGCAAUUCCAUCUAUAUUGCCGCAUGCAAAUACAUCACAGCCCCUGCGUACAAAUGAUGUAGGCUGCCAAACAGAUGGUCCUGUCGUCUUAUCUCAGGGAACACAACUGUCUUUGAACACAAUGAGGUCCCACCUUCAAAACAAAGGCGUACAGGUGACAGUGUCGUCUCAAAGUGUGGCGGUAGGCACCACAACUACUGAAAUGUCAUGGGCCACAAAACAUCCAUUUACAUCGACACCAGUGAAGGCUUCAAGGCUAGCCAAAAGACCUCGUGUUGAAUUGGAGGAGGAUCAGGAAAUGGGGAAUGUUUCCUCUGCAGGCACUGAUCCACAAGAUUCCACAUAUGAUCCUGCACGUGCCACAUCAACGCCAGUCCAUAAGGAUGCAAAGUUCAUAGUUUUUGAAAAAUGCCUCCUUAGCCUGUUCGAGAGUUGUCCUGUUUGCACCAGGGCUUGUAAUGUUCGCCCACGCAGAAGAGGGACCUUCAUAGCCGUUGACCAGCUGUGCCCUCACUGUGAGUUCUUCAGGCAGUGGAGGAGUCAGCCUGUCGUCGGCAGCACCCCUGUGGGCAACCUUCAGUUGUCUGCUGCCAUCUAUUUCAGUGGAGCUUCCUUUCUGAAGAUGCAAAAGGUGUUCAGGGCGAUGUACUUGAAAACGCAUACAUAUGAUGCUUUUAGAAGGCAUGCCAGGACAUACCUUGAACCUGCUAUCAUCCACAAGUGGAAGGAGGAGCAAAAUUUGCAGCUGCACUACCUGAGCCAGAACAAGAAUGUCAUUCUUGGUGGUGACAUGCGAGCAGACUCUUCAGGUGAGCUGUAUCUGGAUCAAAUUUUGUGGUGAUUGCAUAAAGAAAUCAAAAGUUACAGCAUUUGGAACAAAGGAUAUUCUGCAAAAUAUGGAAGCUACACCAUGAUGAACUUGCAGACCAACAACAUUAUAGACAUACAGCUGGUGCAGAGCAACGAGGUAGGAGGAAGCUACCACAUGGAGAAGGAGGGCCUUAGAAGAAGCUUGGAUCUCCUGGAGGAAAGCGGUGUAAAGUCGGACUGCAUUGUCACUGACCGUCACCCCCAGAUACAAAAGUUCCUAAAGGAUCGUAAAAUCAACCACUAUUAUGACGUCUGGCACACGGUGAAAGGAUUGUCAAAGAAGGUGGAGAAAAUUUCCAGAGAGAAGGACUGUAGUUUGGUGAAGAAGUGGCGUAAGAGCAUCACCAACCACCUGUACUGGUCUGCCACCAGCUCGGAUUCAGGACCAGAGAAGGUAGCCAAAUGGACCUCUAUCAUCAACCACAUUCAAGACAUUCACACACAUUCUGACCCAGUGUUCCCUAGGUGUCAGCAUGAACAAAGGGUGUCUAAGGACCGUAGCAAGUGGUUUCAACCAGGUUCGACAGCACUGAAUAGGCUACGUAAGGUCCUGAUAAACAAGAGAGUCCUUUCAGAUGUGGAGAAGCUGAGCCCAUAUGACCAGACAUCAACUGUGGAGUCAUUUCACAAAGUCGUGUUGCACUUUGCACCCAAAAAUGUUGUCUUCCCCUUCACCGGAAUGCUAUGCAGGUUGUACCUCGCAGCGAUGCACUUCAAUGAGAAUGCCGUCCAGCCACAUGUGACAUCUAAAGGGAAACUUGUGCACAAGCUUCACUUUCCAAAGGCCAAAAAGGGAGGACAUACCGUCAAACCAGUAAAAACAGAGCCAACAUUUUGUAAGCUUUUCCAAAAAAAUGAAAAUGGCUAUGUCAUCAACUUGAUGAAUACUGUUUUUGAAGAGGUUGUCCGUGAUCCCCUUCCAUAUCUGGAUGCCAUACAGCGGAUUCCUGUGCCUCCGGACUCGUCUGCUCAACAUGAGACUAAUCACACGACAGCAGCGGAGUAGUAAACAUGACACUGACUAUACUGACAUGGAAAAGUGGCUUCUGUACUUAACUUUGGUUGGCUAAAUAAAUCUGCUUUGAAAUCA